rnacentral:rRNA from 1 species
GACGAACGCUGGCGGCGUGCUUAACACAUGCCAGUCGAACGGAAAGGCCCUGCUUUGUUGCGGUGCUCGAGGUGCGAACGGGUAAGUAACACUUGGGUAACCUGCCCUUGACUGUGGGGGAACUUCAUGAAACUGGGGCUAAUACCGGCUAAGAGCUCCUGCUGCAUGGUGGGGGUUGGUAAGUUUCGGCGGUUGGGGAUGGACUCGCGGCUUAUGAGCUUGUUGGUGGGGUAGUGGCUGACCAAGGCUUGGAGGGGUAGCCGGGCUGGACGGGUGACCGGCCCCGCUGGGAUUGGACUACGGCCCGGACUACUAUGGGAGGCAGCAGUGCGGAAUAUUGCACAAUGGGCGGAAGCCUGAUGCAGCACAGCCGCGUGCGGGAUGACAGCAUUCGGGUUGUAAACCGCUUUCGCCUGUGACGAAGCGUGAGUGACGGUACCGGGUGAAGAAGCACCGGCUAACUACGUG